CUGGAGGAUCAGCCAACAGGACUACAGAACUCCUGCACUUUUGGGCAUGUCCAUGCUCUCCCAACAGUGGAAGCAAAAUCAUUGAGACACUUAAAAUUCCACUGAGAUCACCCUAAUUACCAGGAUAAUCUAUCCGUCUCAAGAUCCCUGACGGAAUUUUCAUCUGCAAAGUUCUUCUCAUCAACCAAAUAGCAUUUACUUUAGGAACAGGAUUUACACACCACUGGAUCACAGAACAGAGGUGGACCAAGACAGUUCUUUGGAGGCUCAAUGAGUGAUUUCUCCUGAGAGAGACACAUCUCUCUAGUCUGCCAAGGAAUGAAAAAUCAGACAAUCGCAUAAAUCAUUUUGAAUGUUGCCAAAUAAA